rnacentral:rRNA from 1 species
AGCAGUAGCCACGGGAAUACGAAGGGUGCAAGCGUUAAUCGGAAUUACUGGGCGUAAAGCGUGCGUAGGCGGUUUGUUAAGUCUGUUGUGAAAUCCCCGGGCUCAACCUGGGAAUGGCAAUGGAUACUGGCAAGCUAGAGUGUGUCAGAGGAUGGUGGAAUUCCCGGUGUAGCGGUGAAAUGCGUAGAGAUCGGGAGGAACAUCAGUGGCGAAGGCGGCCAUCUGGGACAACACUGACGCUGAGGCACGAAAGCGUGGGGAGCAAACAGGAUUAGAUACCCGCGUAGUCCCUGUCUCUUAUAC